UUUAGCUUUUCUAGAGCGGGAGUUGUAACAGUUGAUUCAUAAACAUCCAUAAUUAAAGACAAACAAAUAGUAUAUCCAAUUUAUUUGUAAUGAUCCUUGUCACAUUUGUAUAUUUCAACAAAAUUUGGUCUUGAUAAAGCAUCCCAGUUCCAUUUGUCUUUUGCCUACUUUUACAGGAAAGGAAAGAACAAGCAUUAAGGGCCCUGAAAUUCCCAGGAAUCAAAAGGGAGAAACAAUAAAAUAGAAACUGCAAACUGCAAAUGAUUUCUGCUUUUGGGAUCACAUUUGUCAUUUCGAUUUAUCGGUGUUGUGGCUCCGUUACCUGAGCCUGUGUCAUCGGCAGGAGAGGACUCCGAGAGUGAAGGAGAGGAGUUGGCAAGCCCUCCCUCUCCAGGACCCUCCUCUUUGGCAAUGCCUUCAGUGUCCGCCGAAGGGCAAGAGAUAGGGCCGGGGCCAAGCACGUCCACGCAGCCACAGAUGGACAGUGAUGAGAGUAAUGAGUCUUGGCUGGACUCACGCCAGCGUUGCAGAGAUAAGCGCGCGCAACAGAAGAAAAGGCGUGCCCGAGAUUAGGCUGAGUCACUGGACCACACCCCACACGGUAUAAAAGGGAGCGUGAUGGCCAGUCAAGCCUUGUGACGAACAAAGCUGAAAGUUUCCACGCCAUUCUGCAUUGCCGGACUUUUGCUAUAGACUUUGCUGGAUUAUAUUUGGACUUAAGUUACUCUGGAAUUAUUGAACAUUUUACUUUGAUGUACCAGAAGCGGAGAGAAGUUAUCUCUUCCCUUCGUGAGUAAUAAACUCUUGGCAGGCAGCCACUAGGUUGCUGCCAAGUUCCGUUAUCAUAAGGAAAAGGA